UACGAAGGGGGCUAGCGUUGUUCGGAUUUACUGGGCGUAAAGGGCGCGUAGGCGGCCACCGCAAGUCAAUUGUGAAAUCUCCGGGCUUAACUCGGAAAGGUCAACUGAUACUGCGGGGCUAGAGUGCGGAAGGGGCAACUGGAAUUCUCGGUGUAGCGGUGAAAUGCGUAGAUAUCGAGAGGAACACCUGCGGCGAAGGCGGGUUGCUGGGCCGACACUGACGCUGAUGCGCGAAAGCCAGGGGAGCGAACGGG
rnacentral:rRNA from 1 species